GCAGGUGUAGUUUAAUGGUAAAACAUCAGCCUUCCAAGCUAAUGACGGGAGUUCGAUUCUCCUCACCUGCUCCA
rnacentral:tRNA from 1 species